CGUCACUUCUGCAGUUUAAAUUUCCGCAAAAUGGCACUACAAUAAACUGUGCAGCAUAUAGCUAGGAAGUAACACUCUUCAAACCGUCUCAUACCAUAUUUCAGCCAAAAGCGACGCUUUGUUUAUGUGCGGCAAACGUUGGAAGUAGUCAUGGCAGCAGUUGUCAUAAAAAUGGAAAAAGACAAAUUCCAUGCUGUAAUUAAACAUUUUUAUUUAAAAAAGUGGACGGCUACGCAGAUCGAAGCCGAGAUGGACGAAGUUCACGAAGUUCAGAGACGCUGCACCAGCGUUGAAGAUGUUUAAUUACCACAUUUGUCUUUUUCCAUUUUUACCGCAACUGCUGCCAUAAUGAUUUACACGACCAUAGAACCAAAAGUUCAGAUUUAUCCGAUAAAGGUAGCCUGCAAAUAUGUAGAAACACAAAAUUACAUUUUACUUAUUAAAUUAAUCGAAUAUUUACAUUCUAAUUUCUUUAUCUUACAACAGCUGCUCUCGAUGCUAAACCAUGGUUACAAAGUCAUUCAAUGCCAUGAGAAAUUGUUGUUACAAAGUGAAAAUUGACUGCUGAAUAUCAACAAAAAAGUAUUAAGUCAAAUCGCGAUUUGAAGUUGUGUCAAAUUUUUGAAAGCUGGCCUAUUCUCAAACAUCCAAAUGUAUAUACUUUAAUUGAAGAGGAUUAUUCUUGUUUAGAAUUAUCAACGCAAGAAUUGACAUUGAAAAGUUGGAGAAUAUUUUUUGCAAAAAUUUUAGCAGUUUGGCCACCAAAGAAAGACGAUGACUGUGCGAAAGCUUUGAUAGAAUUGUUAGAAAACGACCUACAAUUGACCGAUGAUGCUAAAAUUGUUCUGCAAUUGAGACUUUUCCUACACUUAUUGUCACCUAAAAACCGAAUCGGUCUAAGAAAGAAUCAAUGGAAACCAUCGAUACCAGAAUGUAAAGAUAGUAUAAUUAUUUUAACUACAUUAAUAGCAUCACAAAAAUACAAAAAGCAAAGAGAAAAGCAACCGCGGAUGUAGGGAUUACAUUACAGCCUUUCAUCAUCGCUUUUGGCCCAUCCAACGCGGACAAUUCUGAUAUUUUUAUAUUAGUUGAUAACAUCUUGUACAAAGUAUUAUCAGCCCUGAAAGCUAUAGACUUAAAUUUCAAAAUCUUUCAAGUUUUUGACAUUGAAUACCCGAUCAAAAGCGUUUAUAUAUGGUUGUUAAUACAAAGAGUUUUAUAUGGUUAUGAAAAUAGUUUGGAUAAAAUAACUCCUAAUGUAAUGGAAACAAUAAGCGAAAUGAUGACAUUUCAAGAUAAAAACACGUAAAUAAUCAUAUAAGCAACUUUUUCUAUUGUUUUUCUUUAUUUGUUAAACAAGC